GAGAGUCAGCCAAACAAACACAAGUUGCAAGUGUUGGAGACUCAUUCUAGUCUUGUUAACA
rfam:Hubei polero-like virus 1 strain WHCC118254 hypothetical protein 1, hypothetical protein 2, and hypothetical protein 3 genes, complete cds.